UGGGGAAUCUUCCGCAAUGGACGAAAGUCUGACGGAGCAACGCCGCGUGAGUGAAGAAGGUUUUCGGAUCGUAAAACUCUGUCUUUUGGGGCGAACGUGAGUAUGGUGAACAAUCAUAGUCAGUGACGGUACCAAAGGAGGAAGCCACGGCUAACUACGUGCCAGCAGCCGCGGUAAUACGUAGGUGGCAAGCGUUGUCCGGAAUUAUUGGGCGUAAAGAGCGCGUAGGCGGGAUAGUCAGUCUGUUGUAAAGUGCGGGGCUCAACCCCGUGAUCGCAAUGGAAACAGCUAUUCUUGAGUGCAGGAGAGGAAAGUGGAAUUCCCAGUGUAGCGGUGAAAUGCGUAGAUAUUGGGAGGAACACCAGUGGCGAAGGCGACUUUCUGGACUGUGUCUGACGCUGAGGCGCGAAAGCCAGGGGGAGCGAACGGGGAUUAGAUACCCCCGGUAGUCCUGGCCGUAAACGAUGGGUACUAGUGUGGGAGGUAUCGACCCCCUUCCGUGCCCGGAGUUAAGCAAUAAGUACCCCGCCUGGGGAGUACAUCGCAAGACUG
rnacentral:rRNA from 1 species